GGAGCAGUUGGAUCUGAUGACUAAAAGGAACAUAUUUAUCAGCUUUCACUCUUUUCCAAAAACAAAAAGAAGAAAAGCGAGCAAGGUGGACCAUGACUUCCGACGAUCUGAAGAUAAAAAAAAAAGGGGGGUAAACAUGUUCGUUUGAAAUAAGUUGGGGAUGGUUUUUGUACUUUCACUUGUUCACGGGAAAAUUCACUUGAAAACGACAUGACAUUAUAUGAUGUUUUCUUUCAUUUUAUUUUUAUGGAUUAAAUUGGAAUAAUGAAUUCAUUUAUGAAGAAUCUCUCAUUCGUUGAAUGUUC